CGCCCCAGCUCCGCCGAGAGGCCGCUCGCGCCGGGUCCUUCCUCUUCCCCAGGUGCAGGCAGAACCCCCGGAGCCAUGGCCAGCCCUUCCGGCAGCUCCGAAGCCACUGGCAAGCCCCGAGGCAGGGAUGGCCGGCCCAGGAGGGAGGAGGACGACGUCCCUCCCGAGGAGAAGAGGCUGCGGCUGUUGCUGGAGGGGGGAAGCGCACAGCCCGAGGACGGGGAGGACGCGCCGCGGCCGGGCAGGAAGGAGACCGGCACCCAGACAGGUGGCGACGGCAGAGGAAUCCUUCUUAGAAAUUCCUAAGGCUCAAUGCUGUGUGGAAGAUUCUGAGAAAAAAAAUAGUUUCCGAUCUUUGGGAUUCCCGAGAUGGUCCAAUCUGCAAAAAGUUCAUUGCCAUUUCCAUCAAGGACACUGAGAACAAGAGUCUUAUCUGGAUUAGAUCCUGGGAAUUGAGAAGCUUCAGCAGGGCUUCCGCUGGGACUAGGAUCAGGAUGUGGACACCCCCAACCUGGACCGUCUGGCCGGGGAGGGCGUCAAGGCCAAGUACCUCAUGCCGCCCCUUGUCACAAUGACCUCCCCAUCCCACUUCACUGCCAUCCCAGCCACUCCCAGAGCCCCUGGAUCUCCAGCCCAAGGCUCCCUGACUGACUCCUUCCCAGAUCUUCUUGGCUUAGCAGCUGCAGACCGACACUUCCCGAUCGAACGCCUCGGAAGCCUACAGGACCAUCACAGACGCUCUAGGUUACUCUCACUGUGGAGCACAGCUUUAAAGACUGCCCCCACCCUAGUCUUGGUUCCCUGACCGGGAAGCGAGGUAAUUGACGGAAAGUCGAGGCAGCCCGUUAGGUGGCUUAGGCCUGCCCUGUGGAGCAUCCCUGCGGGGGACUCCAGCCAGCUUGAGCGACGCGGAUCCUGAGAGCUCUCCCGGGUAAGAAAUUGCCCCGGAGGAAUGCCUCGUCAGAGCAGUGUGUGGUAGGCCC
ensembl:lncRNA novel transcript